rnacentral:rRNA from 1 species
CCUACGGGAGGCAGCAGUGGGGAAUUUUGGACAAUGGGGGCAACCCUGAUCCAGCAAUGCCGCGUGUGUGAAGAAGGCCUUCGGGUUGUAAAGCACUUUUGUCCGGGAAGAAAUCCCCUGCCCUAAUACGGCGGGGGGAUGACGGUACCGGAAGAAUAAGCACCGGCUAACUACGUGCCAGCAGCCGCGGUAAUACGUAGGGUGCGAGCGUUAAUCGGAAUUACUGGGCGUAAAGCGUGCGCAGGCGGUGAUGUAAGACCGAUGUGAAAUCCCCGGGCUCAACCUGGGAACUGCAUUGGUGACUGCAUUGCUCGAGUAUGGCAGAGGGGGGUGGAAUUCCACGUGUAGCAGUGAAAUGCGUAGAGAUGUGGAGGAACACCGAUGGCGAAGGCAGCCCCCUGGGCCAAUACUGACGCUCAUGCACGAAAGCGUGGGGAGCAAACAGGAUUAGAUACCCUGGUAGUCCACGCCCUAAACGAUGUCAACUGGUUGUCGGGCCUUCAUUGGCUUGGUAACGUAGCUAACGCGUGAAGUUGACCGCCUGGGGAGUACGGUCGCAAGAUUAAAACUCAAAGGAAUUGACGG